rnacentral:rRNA from 1 species
GAUGAACGCUGGCGGCGUGCCUAAUACAUGCAAGUCGAGCGAACUGAUUAGAAGCUUGCUUCUAUGACGUUAGCGGCGGACGGGUGAGUAACACGUGGGCGACCUGCCUGUAAGACUGGGAUAACUUCGGGAAACCGAAGCUAAUACCGGAUAGGAUCUUCUCCUACAUGGGAGAUGAGUGAAAGAUGGUGUCGGCCAUCACUUACCGAUUGGCACGGGGUGCAAUAGCUAGUCGGUGAGGUAACGGCUCACCAAGGAAACGAUGCAUAGCCGACCUGAGAGGGUGAUCGGCCACACUGGGACUGAGACACGGCCCAGACUCCUGCGGGAGGCAGCAGUAGGGAAUCUUCCGCAAUGGACGAAAGUCUGACGGAGCAACGCCGCGUGAGUGAUGAAGGCUUUCGGGUCGUAAAACUCUGUUGUUAGGGAAGAACAAGUACAAGAGUAACUGCUUGUACCUUGACGGUACCUAACCAGAAAGCCACGGCUAACUACGUGCCAGCCGCCGCCGUAAUAC